AUGCCAGCGCCUGGCCUGCUUUUCCAGCCCCGGUCCCCAGGCAGGGUGGCACCCCGGGGCCUGUGCCCUCGGCGCUGGGUGACACGGUGCCCCCGAGGGGCUCAGCCUGCCCAGUGCCUGGGGGACAUCCCCGCCAAAGGGGAGCUGGGUGAGGACGGCGGCGAUGGCAAGCGAGGAGCUGGGCAAGGGGCUAGGGCAGGGCUGCAGGGGGGGCUCUGGGCUGGGUGGGCAGGGAUAGGGGCACGGCAGGGGUGCAGGCAGGGUGCGUGCAGCUCUUCAUCUGUCCCCAUGGGUGCCUGCCUUCACCCCUGGCACGCUCGGGCUCGCGGGGGCAUGGGGUCCUGGCAUCCCUCCCUGCCCAGCCGAGCCCCCCCCUGCCGCUCUGUGCCCCCACCAGCCCCGUGCCUUGCUGCGCCCCUGCCUUGUGCUGCCGCCUGCACGGGCCUCAGCGGAGUAAACCACGUUGCCAAACGCCCGGGCUGUGUGCUGCUUGCUGGGGGCAGGAGGGAGGCUGCUUGCACGGGCACAAAUGCAGACACAGAGGGUUUAUUCGUGGUGCUUUGGAGGGCGGCAGGGCCAGCGUGGGCUUCCACACCUCGGGGCCACCCAGCCCACAUGGGGACAGCAAGGAGCUGGGGGCUGCAGGCCCUGCUCCCUGCAGCUGGAGCCCAGGGGAGGUUUCUCCUGGGGGCUGGCGGGGCUGGGGGCACACCCAGGGGACACGAGGGUGGCCACAGGGUGCUGAGCUUUCUCCCCACCAGCCCUGUCCAGCAGGAAGGAGUGAGAUGGCUCUCUGCUGGCCACGAUCCCGGUGUCCCCGCCACGUCCCCAGCUCCCGGUGGUCCCUGGUUCAGGAUGGGGCAGGGGGAGGCGGUGCUGCGGGGCCAGGUGCUGGGCGCUCACAAGCCAGCCGGUCCUGCUGAAGGCGCCCCUCAGCUCCUCCACCUGGGCUGGGCUCAGCGGGGCCAGGGGCGCUCGGCAGGGCCCCCCGUAGUACCCGAACCACUCCAUGGCCUGCUUCAGCCCCUGGGAUCCCGAAACCGGCGGGUGACCUGCGGGGAGGGGGGUGCAGCAAUGCACCUGGGACGGGUCCCUGCUCACCUAGCAUCCCUGCAGCACAGCAGGAGCCAUCCCACGGUGGGUCGAUGCCCCCGGGAAGGCGCGGCGAGUCCCUCUGUCACCGCCUAUAAAUACCCUGCAGGUCUCACGCCAGGGGCUGGGCGGGUGCCCGGUGCCAGGGCACGCGCUGUUCCUGGCACACGAGGGCUGGCAUUUCCCACCCUGCCGCCUCCAGCCUGGGCUUGGCUCCCCAGCCGGGCACUGCGCUGCCCACCCAGGCUGUCCCCGCACCCCCAGGGACCCCCAUCCUCAUCCCCCCCAGCCCUGUAG
rnacentral:lncRNA from 1 species